GCCAGCAGCCAUAUGACUCUGCAACACACAGCUGGCAGCCCACUGGAGCUCAGCAGUGUGAGCCUGGUCAGUACCUGGAUGGGAGACCUCCUGGGAAAAACUAAGGUUGCUGCUGGAA
rnacentral:rRNA from 1 species